AACUUAUGGUCUUGUAGGUCCUGCCUAACAACUAGUUUGUUGGUGCUAGGUACUUACAGAUCAUCCUUCUGGAGAGUGCUUCUGCCCUUGAUUGGGUGGUUGUACAAUUCAGAUCAUUUACUGUGAGUAAAUCAGAGUGUUCAAAGCAGGCUUUUAAGCUUGUAUGCAUUAGCAUGGAAUAAUAAUUUAGGACUUCGGUUCUAUUUUGUUGGCCUAGAAUUGAAGUAAUGAUUAAAAGGGAUAGUUGGGGGUGCUAGUAUUUAACGGUCAGCGGUGAAAUGCGUAGACCCGUUAAAGACUAACUCAUGCGAAAGCAUU
rnacentral:rRNA from 1 species